AUGGAAGCAGUAACCUUGUCCGCCGUCUCCAUCGGGGCGACCAAUGACAAGGAGGCGCAACGAAGGUCAAUCGCUCCGACAGAUGCGCCCGACGCCGCCGAUUGGUCUGGCCUGCUGCAGGACCUCCUGCUGGCCAUCAUGGCGGCGCUGGAUGUCCCCAGCCUCGUCCGUUCCGGCGCCGUCUGCACGUCCUGGCGGGACGCCUACAGCACCUUCCGCCUCCCCGCGCUGAAGCAAGCGCCGUGCCUGCUCUACGCCUGCGACGAGUACGGACCCAAGGAGGCCGCCCUGUACUGCCCCUCCACCAACGCCACCUUCCGUGUCCCCUUCCCCGGCCCACCGCACGAGAAGCGAGGCUUCGUCUUCUCGUGCCACGGCUGGGUGUUCGCUGCCGAUGAAGUCGGCGACCCGUACCUCUUCAACCCCAUCACCGGCGUCCAGGCCGCGCUCCCGCCGGUCAAGACGCUCUCGGGCCGCGACGAGGACUUCUACGACGAUGAAGGCAAGCAUGUCAUCGACCCCGGGAGUGAUGACGAGAACGAAGACCAGAAAACCAGCAUCCUCUGGGCACGAGAUUCAGAGUAUAUCCGGGUCGCCAUCUCCUCCGCAGCCGAGGUGACUGCAUGCACUGUCCUGAUCAUGCACAAUCCAGAUUCGAUGCUCUCGUUUGCCAAGCCGGGCGAUAAGCGGUGGACAUUGCUCCCCAACCUUCAAACACGUCAAACCGGUGGUGUCAGUGAUGUUCUUUACAACGAUAAGGACGGCCUGUUCUAA
rnacentral:rRNA from 1 species